AGCAGCCGCGGUAAUUCCAGCUCCAACAGCGUAUAUUAAAGUUGUUGCAGUUAAAAAGCUCGUAGUUGAAUUUCGGGAUCGGCAUGUUGGUCGUGCCUUACGGGGUAUGAACUGACAUCGUCGGUUUCUCACCUUCUGGAGAAUCGUGAUGCUCUUAAUUGGGUGUUACGUGGAUCCAGGACCUUUACCUUGAAAAAAUUAGAGUGUUUAAAGCAGGCAUUUUGCUCGAAUACAUUAGCAUGGAAUAAUAAAAUAGGACGGUUUGGUUCUAUUUUGUUGGUUUCUAGGAUCACCGUAAUGAUUAAUAGGGAUAGUUGGGGGCAUUAGUAUUCAAUUGUCAGAGGUGAAAUUCUUGGAUUUAUUGAAGACUAACUACUGCGAAAGCAUUUGCCAGGAUGUUUUCAUUAAUCAAGACGAAAGUUAGGGGAUACGAGGACGAUCAGAUACCGUACGUAGUCUUAACCAUAAACUAUGCCGACUAGGAUCAGACGAUUAGUUUAAUUUUUUAAUGUACUUCGUU
rnacentral:rRNA from 1 species